rnacentral:lncRNA from 9 species
CCCACAGCCAACUCAAGAAACGCCUGGUCUCCUGUAGCCCCAGCUAGUGGCUUCUCACCACCCGAGGCCUGGGCCAGAGGCGCUCCGCCCUCUGAGAGCCCACGCAUGCGCAGGGAGAUUCCUACAGCGGUCCGCCCUUCCUCCUCUCGCCCUCCCCAACCAUGGCAGCUUGCUUCUGUCGGCCCAGACCUCUUCCCGGGUUCCCUCUGCUGUGGUGUUCCACUCCCCAGCCCAUAGCACACUACUCCUUAGCUCCUCAGUCCCUCAGGCUGUCCCCACACAGCCAACCCUAGUCCUCUCCCCGGAACUGACCUUCAGAGCCUCAGUCUCAGCGCCCAGCCCCCACCCGAGCGUCUCAAGCUGUGGUGUCCGGGCGGUGGCGCAGAUGAUCUGUGCGGCUCUCACUCUGUUUGGUCCUCAGUCCAGCUGCUGUGCUUUCCUCAGCUGCUUCAAGGUCCCUCUAUCUCGGCUGAUCUCCUGGGUCACAUAUGGUGUCCAUUUAGAGAGUCAAGCCUUUGCUGUGAGUUCACUCCAUACCUGUGUCCUCAAGAGUUUCUUGGAUAAUAUUUCCAGGAGAAAUGAUUGGAUUAUAAGGUAGGUAUAUAUUUAAUUUUCUAAUAUUGGGGAACAGUAUUACAUUCUUGAUUAUUAGAGUUUAAAAAUAAGUCUGGAAAUUAGGUAAUAUUUGUUCUCCAACUUUGUUCUUUUUCAAAGUUGUUUUGGCAGUUUUCUCAUUUGCAUUUCCAUAGGUGUUUUAGGAUCAGUUUGUCAGUUCCCAGAAAAAGACCAGCUGGGAUUUUGAUUGGUGUUGCACUGAAUUUAUAAAUUAAUCUGGAAAGAAUUAACAUCCUAACAAUAUUGAGCCUUCCAAUCUACAAACAAGGUAUAUCUCUUAUUUUAAGUCUUUUAAAAUUUCUUUCAACAGGAGUUCCCGUCGUGGCGCAGUGGUUAACGAAUCCGACUAGGAACCAUGAGGUUGCGGGUUCGGUCCCUGCCCUUGCUCAGUGGGUUAACGAUCCGGCGUUGCCGUGAGCUGUGGUGUAGGUUGCAGACGCGGCUCGGAUCCCGCGUUGCUGUGGCUCUGGCGUAGGCCGGUGGCUACAGCUCCGAUUGGACCCCUAGCCUGGGAACCUCCAUAUGCCGCGGGAGCGGCCCAAGAAAUGGCAAAAAGACAAAAAAAAAAAAAAAAAAAAAAAAAAUUUCUUUCAACAGAGUUUUGUAGUUAUCAAUGGACAGGUCUUUCACAUCUUUUGUAGAGGUGUUAGACUGCUGACUGUAAUUGUGUCUACUUCUUGCAGUUCUAUCAAUUUUUGCUUUGUGUAUUUGGAAAUACUUUUUAGAUGAAUAAACAUUUAGAGUUGUUACAUGCUUAUAAAAAAUUGACCCCUUUAUCAUCAUGAAAUGAUUUUAUCCCUGGUAAUAUUCUUUACUUUGAAAUCUACUCUGUUUGAUGUUAAUAUGGCUUCAGCUUUCCUUUGUUUAGCUAGCAUGGUGUAUCUUUCUUCAUCCUUUUUUCUUUUAACUUAUUUGUGUUUUUAUAUUUAAAAUGUAUUUCCUAUAGGCAGUGCAUAUUUUGGUAUUGCCUUUAAAAAAUCCAGUCUAAUGGUCAACUAUUAAUUGAACUGUUUAGAUCACUGAGUUUGUACUGUAGGUACAAUAAUAUUGAAAUGAGUAUUUCAAAUACUCAAAUGUAAUUUGAAUAUGAA